rnacentral:rRNA from 1 species
GACGAAGGAUGCAAGCGUUAUCCGGAUUCAUUGGGUUUAAAGGGAGCGUAGGUGGCCUUAUAAGUCAGUGGUGAAAUCUCGCAGCUUAACUGCGAAAUUGCCAUUGAUACUGUAGGGCUUGAGUACAGUUGCCGUUGGCGGAAUAUGACAUGUAGUGGUGAAAUACAUAGAGAUGUCAUAGAACACCGAUUGCGAAGGCAGCUAACGAAACUGUAACUGACACUGAGGCUCGAAAGUGCGGGGAGCAAACAGG